UACGAAGGGAGCUAGCGUUGUUCGGAAUCACUGGGCGUAAAGCGCACGUAGGCGGAUGUGUCAGUCAGGGGUGAAAUCCCGGAGCUCAACUUCGGAACUGCCCUUGAUACAGCACGUCUUGAGUCCGGAAGAGGUGGGUGGAAUUCCUAGUGUAGAGGUGAAAUUCGUAGAUAUUAGGAAGAACACCGGUGGCGAAGGCGGCCCACUGGUCCGGUACUGACGCUGAUGAGCGAAAG
rnacentral:rRNA from 1 species